rnacentral:rRNA from 1 species
ACGGGAGGCAGCAGUGGGGAAUAUUGCGCAAUGGGCGGAAGCCUGACGCAGCGACGCCGCGUGGGGGAUGACGGCCUUCGGGUUGUAAACCUCUUUCAGCAGGGACGAAGCGGAAGUGACGGUACCUGCAGAAGAAGCACCGGCCAACUACGUGCCAGCAGCCGCGGUAAUACGUAGGGUGCAAGCGUUGUCCGGAAUUAUUGGGCGUAAAGAGCUCGUAGGCGGUUUGUUGCGUCGGCUGUGAAAUCCCGAGGCUCAACCUCGGGUCUGCAGUCGAUACGAGCAAACUAGAGUGUUGCAGGGGAGACUGGAAUUCCUGGUGUAGCGGUGAAAUGCGCAGAUAUCAGGAGGAACACCGGUGGCGAAGGCGGGUCUCUGGGCAACAACUGACGCUGAGGAGCGAAAGCGUGGGGAGCGAACAGGAUUAGAUACCCUGGUA